CUGUCGGCUCGCCCUCCCCUAGCCGCUUAAGCCUUCACUCCGCGAACCGGGUCCUCUCCCCACAGCAACACGGCUUCUCUUCCUCAGCUCAGCGACAGGGGCUUCCCCUCAGCCGCCGCCGCCGCCGGCCGAGCCCCGCCGCGCCUGCGGCCCGCGGCCGCCAUGCAGUUUAUGUUGCUUUUUAGUCGUCAGGGAAAGCUUCGACUGCAGAAAUGGUACGUCCCAUUAUCAGACAAAGAGAAGAAAAAGAUCACAAGAGAACUUGUUCAAACCGUUUUAGCACGGAAACCUAAAAUGUGCAGCUUUCUUGAGUGGCGAGAUCUGAAGAUUGUUUACAAAAGAUAUGCCAGUCUGUAUUUUUGCUGUGCUAUUGAGGAUCAGGACAAUGAACUAAUUACCCUGGAAAUAAUUCAUCGUUAUGUGGAAUUACUUGACAAGUAUUUUGGCAGUGUGUGUGAACUUGAUAUCAUCUUUAAUUUUGAGAAGGCUUAUUUUAUUUUGGAUGAGUUUCUUUUGGGAGGAGAAGUUCAGGAAACAUCCAAGAAAAAUGUCCUUAAAGCAAUUGAGCAGGCUGAUCUACUACAGGAGCCACGUCAUGAAUAUUUUAAUGUCCCUGUGUACUAAAUGACUACUCAUCAUCGUGUAUGCAGAAUUUCACAGAGGAAAUAGAGAGCUGAUAUGCUCAUGAAAGAAAAUACCCUCAGCUUGGUGACUGAUUAUCUUGUAUAAUAAUAAUAGAACAUUUCAGAACCAUUACCUUUAUAAUUGUAAUAAUUUUCCUGUUUUCAUCCUCUUUUCUGUUUUAUUUUCAUUCGAUAUGUGAUCUUGAUAUAGCUUUUCCUGCUUGCAGCUGGUUUAAUUCUUGAAAAAAUAUGACCUAUGACCAUUUUGAGUAAUGCUUCAUCUUAAACACAUACGUGUCAUCAUUUAUGAACCAUCUGUGAUUAAUCGUGUAAGAGGAAUACCUAGCAAUUGUUAAAAUGUUUACCAAAGAAAAUAUAGCUGAAAUGCUAGGGCAGAAUAAGCAAUGCAUAAUAUAGUGUGGUUUCAUCUUCAAAUGUUGGUGGGGGGCGGGGGGAGCUAUAUUUAGGGUGAUUAUAUUAUAGUCUAUAUGAGCAAACGUUUUCUAAUGUAUCACAUAAAAGUGUAUUUGGAAAUAAUACAAGAAAGUAAAAUCUACUCUUAUAUAAUAUUUAAGGUAAAACAUUCAGUUUCUAAGAAAUUUAUAAUGCCACAUUUAUUGAAUCACAUUUGUGCUAUACGGUAUCAAACAGUCCCUUUAAGAACUAUUAGAAAGCUAUAUCAGAAAAGUCUCUUCUGCAAUAUCUGUUGUUCAAUAGUAAGUAAUCCUUUCAAAGUAUUAAUACCUGCUUUAUUUUAUAUAGUUAAGAUUCUAAUAUUGCUUAAAUACUAAUAUUUUACUAGUUAUGGUUUUAUAAUUGUCUGCAUUUACUUAAUGAUUUGUUAAAUAUGGUUUUAUAUUUCUGAAUAUGAAAACCUUUAAUAUUGAUGAUUUUUGUGUAUAUUUUUAAUAAAACAUGAAACAUAUAUUAUUAUAAAGGGGAAAUUACCAAAUAAUUCAUUGUUUAUGUCUAGAGAGUUUAAAGCCCGAGUUAAGUAACCUAUCAUUAAACAAUACAUUCAAAAGAUGCUCAAACUGAUUUACCAUUGAAAGAAGACCUGUGAAAAUGUGUAUAAGGCAGGUAUGCAGAUCAGUUGUUUCCAUUCUUACCAUUCUCACUGUACCACAUGACAUUUGAAGCAACCUGGGUGGGCGGUCAAAUGAGAAAUUUAGCAUUAUAUACAUUGAUAGCAUUGGGAAACAUUGGUCUUUUCGUUUCCAUUUUUUUCCUCUAUCCCUCCCCCAGCCCUGCAACAUGUCAUUCAUGUGGUUUUAAUGCUGCAUAAAUAUGCAUUGUCUCAUGCCUGUUUGCUUUGGAUGCUGUGUGCCCAGCUGUAACAAGAUGUUGCUUCUUUUGUUAUUUGUAUACAGCUGCUUGCUUUAAACUAGUAGAUUCUGAAAUACCUUUCCUUGCAUGUCUAAAAUAAAAGUAUUGCAUGUACUUUGUCUCAUGUGAAUGACUUUUUUCUUCUCCAUCCUUUUGAUAAAUAAUAUAUUUCAUAUUUUAAUUUUUCCAGGUAAUUUUUUUAAUUGUCUUUUAAAAAUAACAAAAUUUACUAGUUUAACCAUUUUUAAGUGUACAGUUCAGCAGUGUUCAGUAUGUUCACAUUGUUGUGCAACAGAUCUCCAGAAGUUUUUUAUCUUGCAAAACUGAAACUCUACCCAUUAUAGACAACUAUUCCCCACUUCCCCUCCCCUCAGCCCUUGGUAACCAACCACCUUUCUACUUUCUGUUUCUAUGGAUAUUACUAAUUCAGAUAAUAGUUUUUCUAGGUAAUUUUGAGCUACAAUUUCAGUGUGAACAUGUGAAAAUUAAUUUUAUAUUAUAAAUACAACUGAUUAAAAAACUCUAACGUACUCUUUGUAUAAGUCUCAAAGGAAGAAAAUGUGUAAAUGAUUCUUUGAAGUUAGGCCUUUCAGAAAGGACAGAUACUUUAAAUAAUGCAUAUUUGAGAAGUAACGUGGUUCUCUUCAAGAAAUGCUGUAUAAGAUUGCAAGCAGUGAACACAUAGGGGAAGUCUGACCAGCUCCGGGGAAUAGGAUAGGGGGACAUUUUUACAUGGAUAAGCUAAGAAUGUUAACUAUAGAAUUCAAUGUAGGCACCCUUUAAUAAAUACAUUAAAGGUUAUAUGAUGUUUUAAAAAUUAUUUAACAUUAAAUGGAAAUGAUUCUUUUUAAAUUGUCCCCUUUAUUUAAUACGUAUGUGAUUCAGAUGUCAGUCUUGCAGUGUAUUUAAUGGUUAAGGCUAAACAUUAUUAUAAAUGAAAGAGAUUGGCUUACAUCAUUCUUGGGAGUGUUGCAUCACUUCCAUUAAACUUUCUUUUAAAGCUAUAUCAUGAAAACUCUGAGACAUACAAAUAGAAUAGUAUAAGGAACUGUCAUGUACGCAUCACUCAGCUCCAACAACCAUCAACUCAAUGGUAGUUUCAUAAAUCACCACCCCACCCUGCCUUUUUUUUCCACCCCACCUUUUUUGCCUAUUUUACAGCAAGCCCUAGACAUCCUACCAUUUCAUCUUUACUACUUAAGUAUGUAUCCCUAAGAGAUGAGUACCACACCCCCCAAAAUUAAUAGUAAUUCCUGUCUUAUUCCUGGUUGGGUUUUUUUUCCUAAUUGUCUGAAAAAUGCAUUUUUAUAAUCGGUUUGUAAGAGCCAGAUUCCAAACAAAGCUCACACUUUAUCUGGUCUCUUUAAGUCUCUCUUAAUCUUUAACAACUCCUCUGCUUUUACCCGCCUUUGCCUAUUUUUGUUAAACUGAGUCCCCUAUGCUGUAGAAUUUCCUCCAUUCUGUAUCUGGCAGAUUAUAAUGGUGAUGUUUAACUUGUUUUCUUAUCCUCCAUGUAUAUUUAGGUCUGUAGCCUGGUUAGGUUGAGGUUCAAUUUGGAGGUGGGGAGGGGGGCAAGAAUACUUCAUAAAAAAAUAGCCCUUUUUCACCAAAGCUGACUUUUACCCAUUUUUCAUUAAUACACAAACGUACUAAAAGGUCAUCAUAUGAACUUUAUAUAGAGAGCUGGUUUAUAGUAAGGCUAAAUACCUUCAUUUAGAUUUCAGUUGAGUAAUGUAUCAGCUAACAUUUUUUGAGCACUUUCUGUGAAUCAGGCACUAAGCCUUAUCUCCCUUAAUCUCUACAUAUGAAGGUAAGUACUAUGAUCCUUGUUUUCAUAGUAUAAGGAAUAAGGAAACAGACCAAAGAGUUUAAAUAAUUAACUUAAGAUUAUUUCAUGUAGUGCUUUACAUACAAUUAAAUCUAAUGUAUGGAUUUAUGGUUUAAUUAAUUUUUCUUUUCCUUGUUUUGUGCUGUACCACAAUUAGGAUGCAAAAGAAGCUGAAACCCCACGUAGCGUUCUUGAAGAAAUUGGACUGACAUAACUCUCCUCCCCUGUUGAUGACUUCUUGUGGCAUUUCACACACUGUAGAUGGUCACUGCCUUCAUGUCCGUGUUAGCUAAUGGUGUAAGAUGACGUCUUGUCAGUAUUACUGUUCUGCUAAGCUGCUUCAUUCAGGCCUACACAAUCUUUUUUUAAAGGGAACUUUGGUUAAUCAAGUGAUAACAAGGGACUUAAAUAUGAAUUAGAAUGAAUGCAGGAAAAGAAAGGUACUUUUUCUGGCUAUUUUAAAGUUUAUAGGUCUGUUUCUCUUGAAUAGAUUAUUAUCAUUACCUUGAUUAUGUGUAUCUAUGAAUAUGACACAGUCAGGCAAUAUACAUUUAUUAAUUACUGUCUUUGGCAAAAAAGUUAAAUUAUAUGAAACCUGGUUUUAUGAAACCAAAGACUAGUUCAUUUUAUUAUAUAUGCGAAUAAAGGGAAUUGACAUGUCACAUAUCAAAUGAAUAAAAAUUUCACUCUAUGUUGAAACUUUAGAAAAAAAACAAAUGUAUACCAAAGACCCUUAUUAGAAACUAAACACCUUAAAACAAAGGGAAUACACAAAAGACUAAUGGAAUGAUGCUGUUUUACACUAAAAAUUAUUUCUUAGGCAUUCCAGACCUGGGACGAGGAACAGAGAUCAGCUGUUUCAUAAUAGUAAGCACGUUAUUUUUAAGGCCAAGGAACAUUUGACUCCUGAGAUAAGUUUCUUGUUGUCAUAAUCAUUUAGUCACUUAGUUGUAUUCUUUUUGAUGCCCCCAAAAUAAAAUGGAAAUGUUGACUUACCAGGGAUUCUUAAUAACAGUAUGUUACGGAAAAUGUUUUACUCCCUUCACAAAGUGUUGCAUAAGUCAUUGUUUAACGCAGGAAUAUUCCUUCCAGGGUGCUUGUUACAGCCAAAUUUAUUUUACUCCCCUAUUGCUUCCCUCCACUUAGAAGUGCAGCAAACUUUAGGGCAGCUUCCUUCCCUUCUAUGGCACUGCCUAGUUAUUGGAAGUCAUACAUAUAAAAACAGAUACCACCUCUCAUAUGAAAGUGUGAGUUGAAUGAGGUAAAAUGGCACUAGUGGGCUCUAUAUUUUUUAAGGAUAUACAGUUGUUUCAAUGUCACUUUUAUACAUACUUCUAUGUAUGUAAACAUGUCUUCACAGUUUACACUUUCAUUUGUAUCUGCUGGGCUGGAUUAAGCUUUGUUGUGAUUGUGACCAGUAUUCAGGCCACGUGAGCACGUCUUAUCACAUCGCCAAUUAGUUGUAAUAAAUGUUCAAUGUACACCACUGUCGUGUGUUUUUAUCUGUCUCUUUCCAAAAGUUUGUCAAAUUAUGAAGAGCUGCUGAAGGAAGAAUUUAAAGAAAAAAUUUUUUGAGUAAAAUGUUGAAAAUUCACCCACAUUUGAAUGUGGUGGUGGUUAAAAGCACACACAAGAUAAAUGGCGGAAGACUUAAGGAGUCUUCAUGUACUUCAAGCUCAUUAAAAAAUAAUGUGGAGUCCAUGCUACUGAGAGCUUAUCUACACAUUUAUUUUCAAUCAAUAAAU